GGGUAUGAAUACAUAUAUACACAGAGAGAUGCAUGUAUUGUAUAUGCAUAUGUACAUAUAUAUAUUUAGAAGUGAAAGUAAGGUAAAAAACAAGAGAUAACAAAAUUAUAUAAGUACUUUUUUGGCCUUCUCAAAUAUGUAUGGUUAGGGAGAGCCCCUGGUCCCCAAAUAUCUCCUCUACCCACCUGUUAUAAGUACCUAAAAAUCUACUAUUAAAUAAUCUUCCUUUGGUGUCUUCAGAAAUUAAAAUAACACAUUUAGCUACUAUUAGACAUCAAUACUUUAGUGUAGAUUAGUUUUCCCAACUCUUUCCCCUCAGCCAACUAGGAGGACACUGAGGAUGAAGAAGGAUUAAAAAAGGGGGGGGGCAGGAAGGUAAUAACUGUGUUGGGAAUACAAGGUAUUGUCCAAGAAAAGCUGGCUGGGGUCUGUGUGUCUUCUCUUUCUUUCUUUUUUCCAGUUCUCCCCACCUUCAUGCAAUACCGUUGGCUAAUUGGCUAUACUGAGUGGGAUCACAGAAUUGUAGAUUAGAAUGGGAAAAGGCAGAAAACAUGGAGUCCAAGCCCUUCAUUUUACAGAUCAGGAGGCUGGAACUCCUAAAGCAACUUCAGAGGAAGGAACAGGAUGACUGCAAAGAUAUUAUAUUUUGCAGCAAUUCACUUUGCUACUCUCUGCCAAAAUCUGAUGAAGAGAGGGAACAUCCAUUAAUUGAUAGGCUGCUAGAAUGGGAAGAGAACUUAGAAGUAAUGAAAUCCAACUGUCUCUUCUUUCAGAUGAGGAAACUGAGUCCUAGAGGGGAAAUGACUUGAUUAUUGAUUAAAGAGGUAACAAAGCCCUGAA